rnacentral:rRNA from 1 species
ACCACAUCCAAGGAAGGCAGCAGGCGCGCAAAUUACCCACUCCCGGCACGGGGAGGUAGUGACGAAAAAUAACGAUACGGGACUCAUCCGAGGCCCCGUGAUCGGAAUGAGCACACUUUAAAUCCUUUAACUAGGAUCAAUUGGAGGGCAAGUCUGGUGCCAGCAGCCGCGGUAAUUCCAGCUCCAAUAGCGUAUAUUAAAGUUGCUGCGGUUAAAAAGCUCGUAGUCGAAAUUGCGUCCCGGGCCGCCGGUUCGUCGCUCGCGACGCUAACCGACGAGCACGCGGGACGUCCGGCCGGUGUUGCGAACUCGCCGACGGUGCUCUUAACCGAGUGUCCAGGCGGGGACCGGCAAUGUUACUUUGAACAAAUUAAAGUGCUUAAAGCAGGCUAAACUGCGCUCGUAUAAUACGUGCAUGGAAUAAUCGAAUAGGACCUCCGUUCUAUUUUGUUGGUUUUUGUAGAACGCACGGAGGUAAUGAUCAAUGGGUGCGGAUGGGGGCAUUCGUAUUGCGACGUUAGAGGUGAAAUUCUUGGAUCGUCGCAAGACGCACCAAAGCGAAAGCAUUUGCCAAAAACGCUUUCAUCGAUCAAGAACGAAAGUUAGAGGUUCGAAGGCGAUCAGAUACCGCCCUAGUUCUAACCAUAAACUAUGCCAGCUAGCGAUCCGCCGCGGUUACUACUAUGACUCGGCGGGCAGCUUCCGGGAAACCAAAGCUUUUGGGUUCCGGGGGAAGUAUGGUUGCAAAGCUGAAACUUAAAGGAAUUGACGGAAGGGCACCACCAGGAGUGGAGCCUGCGGCUUAAUUUGACUCAACACGGGAAACCUCACCAGGCCCGGACACCGAAAGGAUUGACAGAUUGAGAGCUCUUUCUUGAUUCGGUGGGUGGUGGUGCAUGGCCGUUCUUAGUUGGUGGAGCGAUUUGUCUGGUUAAUUCCGAUAACGAACGAGACUCCGUCCUGCUAAAUAGCCGUCAGAACGCGACUACGUCGCGUUACGGGCAUCUCGAAGGCCCGCGUCCGAGCGGUCCCCGCGUCGUCGUCGCGUCGUCUCCGACGCCGCCGUCCGCGGCCGACACUUCGGUGUCGGUCCGCGAGUCGGAGCGGCUAGGGACGCGCGCGCGCGCGCGUGUGUUUCGCCGGCGCGAGGUUCUUACACUGUCUGCGGACAAACUAUUCUUCUUAGAGGGACAAGCGGCUCGAAGCCGCGCUACAAAGAGCAAUAACAGGUCUGUGAUGCCCUUAGAUGUCCUGGGCCGCACGCGCGCUACACUGAAGGAAUCAGCGUGUGCGCAACAGCCCUCGGCCGAGAGGCCCGGGUAAUCCGCUGAAAUUCCUUCGUGCUAGGGAUUGGGGCUUGAAAUUCUUCCCCAUGAACGAGGAAUUCCCAGUAAGCGCGAGUCAUAAGCUCGCGUUGAUUACGUCCCUGCCCUUUGUACACACCGCCCGUCGCUACUACCGAUCGAACGAUUUAGCGAGGUCUUCGGACCGGCGCUCGUCGACUUAMCGYCGCACGCUCCAGCGCUGGAAAGUCGACCGAACUUGAUCGUUUAGAGGAAANANNAAAANUCGNAA